AUUCUUUAUGCCCGCGUCACACUGUCCCGAUUUUUACGCCGAUGGCAACACGAUAAUGGAAAUUUUCAAAAUCGGGGCUGAUCGUAUCCAGAUCGGGCUAUUCGUAGUGCCAUCUUUAACCAUCUUUAACCAUCGGCCACUUUUUCUAGCCUUCGGGGACAACUUCGGGAAGGGUUCUAAAUUUUUUAACAUGUUAAAAAAUCCCCGAAGGUGCGCCCGAUGUUGAGGGUUCGUAUUGAGUUCGUAUCACCAUCCUCAAUAUCGUAAUGUCACCGGGAAUGCAUCUUUGCACAUCGUAUUGCAUUCGUGUUUCAAUCGUUUCCAUCGGGCAGUUUUGACAUUACGAUGUCUACACGAAUGAAUCACGAAGGUACCCGAAGGUCUUACGAUGGCAACACGACUUCGUGAAGACCUCGUAAUCCCGUCGUGUUGCCAUCGAAUAAAAGUACGAAGGCGACAAGAUGGAACUACGACGGCAAUAAAUCCAGCUAAAUGUAAGUUAAUUUUCGCGCUAAAAUACAUUUAAAGUGCCAUGCGCGAUAUGCACUGGUCAGUCCAAUACGACAGUUAAGAAAGACGUUCACAAAACAUGGAGCUCAUAUCAUAUGAUUCUAUGAGAACAAGAAAGGCGACAGCGUUGUUUCUAUUAAUUCAAAUGGAACAAGAAGAGCAGCUAUUACAGGCUCAGGAUUUACUUUUACAAGUAAAAUAUUAUUUUUUGUCAAUUUUUUAUAUCAAGUAACAUAAUUAAAGGUGACAAAGAAUUUAGAGUUUUUAAUUUAUAUUAGACAAUGUCGGAACAUAUUCAAUUUCUUCUAUUCACAACAACAACACGAAAAGACAAAAACGUUAGUUAUGAUAAGAGCGAUAUGUUCAGGCCUUUUCCAUCUGGAUUGUUUCAUAUCAUUACAUGCUGGGGUUCCUUUAAAUAAACGCGCCUCGUACACCAACACUGCAGGUACACGUAUAUAGGGAAACCAACUUUUUAUUCAUUAUUCUGAUUUUUUAUGUAUCGUCUGAGUUGUUGUCACACGAAUGUUUACUCCAUAACCAUUUUGUUUUCUAUAUGUCAUAUUUUGCCGCCUUUGUUGCUUUCCCCACAUCCUUCCUUUUGUCUAUAUUAUUGUGAUAUUCUCCUGGAAAGAGCUCUUUUUGAAUAAAAGGGAUCAACGAACCCAUUACCUUACCUUUAAGAUAGAUCAGUAAACAUGGGCAUAAUUAUGGGUGAUUAUUCAGACUAGUGCACACAUUUUACAGUUCAAACAAGGCAAUGCCGAGCGUGGCAUCCCCUCGUAUGUAACAUAUUGGGGACAAAUAUGGACACUAUAUUUGUAUAUGACACAUGCAGAAAAUGGUAAAUUGAAUAUGCAUAUUUGAUACAUAAACUAUUUUUUUUAGAAAUCAACCAAAACAUUUAGUAACUGGAAAUACCUUUAAUAUUGUCUUUAGAACCAGCAGGUAAAAAAAUGAGCAACC
rnacentral:lncRNA from 1 species